rnacentral:rRNA from 1 species
CGGCCGUAACUAUAACGGUCCUAAGGUAGCGAAAUUCCUUGUCGGGUAAGUUCCGACCCGCACGAAAGGCGUAACGAUUUGGGCACUGUCUCAACGAGAGACUCGGUGAAAUCAUAGUACCUGUGAAGAUGCAGGUUACCCGCGACAGGACGGAAAGACCCCGUGGAGCUUUACUGUAGCCUGAUAUUGAAAUUCGGCACAGCUUGUACAGGAUAGGUAGGAGCCUUUGAAACGUGAGCGCUAGCUUACGUGGAGGCGCUGGUGGGAUACUACCCUAGCUGUGUUGGCUUUCUAACCCGCACCACUUAUCGUGGUGGGAGACAGUGUCAGGCGGGCAGUUUGACUGGGGCGGUCGCCUCCUAAAAGGUAACGGAGGCGCUCAAAGGUUCCCUCAGAAUGGUUGGAAAUCAUUCAUAGAGUGUAAAGGCAUAAGGGAGCUUGACUGCGAGACCUACAAGUCGAGCAGGGUCGAAAGACGGACUUAGUGAUCCGGUGGUUCCGCAUGGAAGGGCCAUCGCUCAACGGAUAAAAGCUACCCCGGGGAUAACAGGCUUAUCUCCCCCAAGAGUUCACAUCGACGGGGAGGUUUGGCACCUCGAUGUCGGCUCAUCGCAUCCUGGGGCUGUAGUCGGUCCCAAGGGUUGGGCUGUUCGCCCAUUAAAGCGGUACGCGAGCUGGGUUCAGAACGUCGUGAGACAGUUCGGUCCCUAUCCGUCGUGGGCGUAGGAAAUUUGAGAGGAGCUGUCCUUAGUACGAGAGGACCGGGAUGGACAUACCUCUGGUGUACCAGUUGUCGUGCCAACGGCAUAGCUGGGUAGCUAUGUGUGGACGGGAUAAGUGCUGAAAGCAUCUAAGCAUGAAGCCCCCCUCA